ACAAGCCUGAGAAACGGCUAGUAGGACUAAGGUCUGCAGCAGGCGCGAAACUUACACAAUGCUAGAUUUCUAUUGAAUAAUUCAAUAAUAUAGCGAUGUAGUGAAGAAAAAUAACGAUGCACUUCCUUAAACAAGGUGGUGCAAUUGGAAUGAGACGACUUUAAACCAGUUAGUCGAGUAACAAAUGGAGGGCAAGUCUGGUGCCAGCAGCCGCGGUAAUUCCAGCUCCAUUAGCAUACAUUAAAGUUGUUGCGGUUAAAAAGCUCGUAGUUGAAUGUUUCGUAAGUUAAAUUUGAUUCUUGGUUCAUACUGUUCCAAGUUAAUCGUUUAAUUUACAGUUUCGUCACUUAAUCGAGUGCGAAGCGGGUCUAAAUUCAUUCUAUUUUAUAGAUUAGAAUCUAGACAUCUUUACCUUGAGAAAAUUAGAGUGCUCAGAGCAGGCAGUUGGGUCUAAACAACCCUUAAUGCUUGAAUAAUGUUGCAUGGAAUAAUAGAAUACGGCCUCGGUUCUAUUCUGUUGGUCUUAUAGAACAACAAACAGGUGGGUUAUUAUGGAUUGCAUUGGCUCUUAUGAAGUUUGCCUUGGGCCUUAAAAUCUAAGUUGCACUUCUUAAAUGGGCCCUUGUAUAUCCUAAAUCCACCGAGGCAAUGGUUAAAAGAAAUAGUCGCGGCGGCAUCAGUACUGCAUCGUGAGAG
rnacentral:rRNA from 1 species